GAGACAAGCUGAGGCAGGAGCACUCAGCUGAAAGUCAGCUGAGUCUGAUUCCUCCCAAUGUUAACAGGAGGCUUCCCAUCAGCUGUAUCUAAUUCCUGCUGGGUCUACUGUGGCAGAUGAAGGAGUGAUUCCGCCCAGUGAACUGUGGAGUUAGGUUUCCCAUCCAGAAGCCAAGUGAAAAGCCCUAAUACCUAAGACAAGCUGAGCUUUACUGAGAGAAGUUCCUAGUGAUUCCCACAGCGAUCUCUGGUUACAAGCCCUGCUCACUCAAAAGAAAGAGCCAUCUCCUGCUGGGCCUUCUAGGUUCCCAUUAAUGAACAGAUGUGUCUUCUCCUGCUAUGGAAGAUAUGUAGGGGGAAAUGGGCUUGCCCUAUCAGCCCCCUGCAGCUUGGGAUACAAGGAUGGAAAUCAGUGGAAAUGAAGGCUUGUGAGCAGGAAUCUAAGAAGAUGUUGGAUCCAAACCCAUUCCAGGAAUCAGAAAGCAGCCAUGGAGGCUAUACAGACAAAAGCCACAAGUCAGUUUAACCAAAACAGAUCCACUCACGGGCCCCUGUGUGAGGACGUGGACUUCGUGGCACCCCAGUAUUUCUCUCCAUCUCUGAGGACAGGCAGAAGG